rnacentral:SRP_RNA from 1 species
GCUGGGCGUGGUGGUUCACGCCUGUAAUCCCAGCACUUUGGGAGGCUGAGGUGGGCGGAUCACCUGAGGUCAGGAGUUUGAGACCAGCCUGGCCAACAUGGUGAAACCCUGCCUCUA